UACGUAGGGUGCAAGCGUUAAUCGGAAUUACUGGGCGUAAAGCGUGCGCAGGCGGCUUUGCAAGACAGAUGUGAAAUCCCCCGGCUUAACCUGGGAACUGCGUCUGAUACUGGGAGGCUUGAGUAUGGGAGAGGGAUGUAGAAUUCCAGGUGUAGCGGUGAAAUGCGUAGAUAUCUGGAGGAAUACCGGUGGCGAAGGCGGCAUCCUGGACCAUUACUGACGCUGAGGCGCGAAAGCUAGGGGAGCAAACGGG
rnacentral:rRNA from 1 species